rnacentral:lncRNA from 1 species
CAUGAAUUAACUGCUUCAUAUUAUAUUAAACCAAAUUGAAUUAUUAAAGGAAAACUAACACAAGCUAACUAAACAAAUUUAGUAACCAAAAAAAAUGAAUAGAAUUAUUAAAAGAAAAAGAACAUAAUCAAUGAAAUAAAAGCUAAACAUGGAUGCCUACGAUUGAAUCACACAAGCAAAUUACUAAAACAGAUUAACUGUAUGGAAAAGAAAAAAUCAAAACCUAAAUUGAAACUUUAAAUCACUACAUAACUAAUCAACAAAAUUCUGAAAUAAACAAACAAUAACAGUAAUAAGCUAAACAAAAUUGAAAAUAGAGAAGAAAAAGAAAAUCACAAAACUCAUUGAUACAACCUUCUCUUCAAUCGACCCUCGAAAUUGACUUUUGUUAAUUUUAUAUGCUUAUCUUAUUAAAUAUAAAGCAUAUGACAUUAUCAAAAUCAUCCGAAUAAUGAAUCUCGCAAAACAGUAUCGAAAUUGAAAAACUUAGAUUUGAAAUUAGUCGAGCUCCACUCGGAUUUGAGAGGUUUUGGUUAGGAAUUCGGAGUGAGGAUGCCUAAGAGACUAUAGGGUGUGAUUUUGAUCGGUUUUGGAUGCGGUAAGCUUUUGGUCGAAUCUUUGAUUUAAUAUUCGAAAGGUUCGAGGAUGAUUCGAAAGAAAUGAUAUGGAUAUUUGAAAAGAGGAGGUUGAGAGGAUCCUAUGGUGUUAAUUUGGUGGCCGUUGGCGUCGGCGUUGCCAUCACCGGCGGUGAAAUAUGGGGCGGCUGGGGCUAGGGUUUCUCUAAAGGGGAUGAGUGAAGGAUAUGAGACGGUAUGGGGUGGGGGGGUCUUAAACAAUUAAGUAUCAAAUUUUGGUCAUUUCCUAGCCGUUGGAUCAAAGAUCCUCGACGGCUGGAAUUAAACUAUGACCAAACGACGUUGUCUGGUGAGGCAAGGGAGAUAGACCAGGUUACUCGGGUUAGGCUUGGGUCUUUCAAGGGUUAUUUUUGUUUG